rnacentral:rRNA from 1 species
UACGUAGGGACCAAGCGUUGUUCGGAUUUACUGGGCGUAAAGGGCGCGUAGGCGGCGUGACAAGUCACUUGUGAAAUCUCCGGGCUUAACUCGGAACGGUCAAGUGAUACUGUUGUGCUAGAGUACAGAAGGGGCAAUCGGAAUUCUUGGUGUAGCGGUGAAAUGCGUAGAUAUCAGGAGGAACACCGGUGGCGAAGGCGGUUCUCUGGGCAUUACCUGACGCUGAGGAGCGAAAGUGUGGGGAGCGAACAGG